UACGUAGGGGGCAAGCGUUGUCCGGAUUUAUUGGGCGUAAAGAGCGUGUAGGCGGCCUGGAAGGUCAGCUGUGAAAACUCGAGGCUCAACCUCGAGACGUCGGUUGAAACCACCUGGCUAGAGUCCGGAAGAGGAGAGUGGAAUUCCCGGUGUAGCGGUGAAAUGCGCAGAUAUCGGGAAGAACCCCCGUGGCGAAGGCGGCUCUCUGGGACGGUACUGACGCUGAGACGCGAAAGCGUGGGGAGCGAACAGG
rnacentral:rRNA from 1 species